UUGUAGAAAAGGCAUACCUGACUGAAAAGCAGGGGCGCAAAGUCACAGGUCUAAGGUGAUUCACUACGACAGCUGGACUGCCUAG
rfam:Alicyclobacillus hesperidum TRH17-3-68 TRH17368ctg75, whole genome shotgun sequence.